GGGAACUCCUAUUUUAUUUUAUUAUUGUAUUUUUUGAGAGGGACAUGAGCAGAAUGUGAAAUUUCCCAGGGCCAGGGAUCAAAACUGCCCUAUAGCAGAGACAACGCCAAAUCCUUAGCUGCUAGACCCCCAGGGAACUCUGAGAAGCAGCGCAGAAUUAAGAUGCAUGGGCUACAUGGAGGAAGAGCUCUGGGGAGAAAGGGAAAGAGCAGGGAAAGGAGCUAAGCAGGGAGGUAGCCAUAGGGGGAGAUGAACUUCCUUCUGAUCCCACUGGCUCUGGACGGUGUGUGAGCUGCCUCGCCAGACUGGUCACUGCUUGAGGCAACCAGACUGGUCACUGCUUGAGGCAACAUCUUUCUCAACCCCAGCAGGAGUGAGUCCUUGGUGUAGGCUCAAAGCGGGACAUAGGUGUGCUUAAUCUUCUCUAUGAGUCAGCUCCCCAUCAGCCAAGAACAGCUGUCAGAAGGGGGCAGCUGUGGGUGACUAGCGGCUAACACGCAGAGCAGCUGGGAUGGGAAUGGGCCCUUAGCCAGGAAAGGGGAUCUAAAUGGGGCAUUAAGGGCGCCUCAUCAUGGGCUCCCUCAGUAGCUGGAGGCCCUUGGAAAAUCUAAUUUAUCCCUCUUUGACCAUGUUGUUACCCAGAUUGGGAGGUGAGGCACUUGGUGUCAGUUUACCGCUAGCCUAGGCGGUUUUGUUUCACUUGGCUGUGCCCACGGCUCAUGGACGCUUCCAGCCCAGGGACUGAACCCAUGCCACAGCAGUGACCCGAGCUAUAUCAGUGACAGCGUGGGAUUCUUAACCUGCUGUCUUACAAGGAACUAUAAGACAGCUUUGCUGAGAUCUCCAAACAGCAUUAACUUUCAAUUAAGCUCUGGUCUCGAGGAAAACAAGUUUCUGGGGCAAAAGCCGAAGACCCAGCUGUUUGAAGGCAGGGAGAUCCUAAUAUCCAUUGUUAACCUCUCCAGUCACGUGAUGUGUUUGCUAGCGUUAAGUGGCACUGAAAUUAUUUGGAGGAAAAGGGCCUCAGUUUGCUCUCAAGGCACGGAGUUAGAAGAGGGCUGUGUAACGACACUUUCUCCCCCCAAAAAUCUGUUCUACGUAGAGACUGCCAAGGGGGUUUUUUAAAACCCUUCGUACUCUACCGUGUUAAGAGGCUGACUGCAGAGGCAGCUUAUCAGUAGAAUGUGAAAUGGAAAAUGAAGUUAGAAGCCAAACUUCUAACGUGACUUCCAAAGGAAGCAUUUUAAAAUAACCACAAAGCUCAGGUGCAUAUUAGGCCGUUGGCUCUUCAAUUCCUUCUCAAUCUGCAAUCACCUGAAAGUCAUUUGGAAACAGCAAGCAAAUGACUGGGUCCAUCCCUAUGACUCUUCCGUUCUUGCGAAUCUCUUAUUAGUGCUGCCAGGACCCUCGGAGGUGAAAUUUCACAGCCAUUCUUCAUCAGAAAGUAAAUUGCAGUGUUAAUUCCCAAAGUGGGUACUGAACUUUGGAGGUGUGGAAUUCACCUUUCCCCUUUUUGUUUUCUCAAACCACUUCAGUGUUCUGUUCCAAACAUACAACUGAUAUCUUAUCAAUCACUUCAUAAUUUCUUUUUCUUUUUUGUCUUUUUUUAGGGCCUUACCCAUGGCAUAUGGAGGUUCCCAGGCUGGUGGUGGAAUUGGAGCUGUAGCUGUCAGCCUGUGCCACAGCCACAGCAAUGUCACAUCUGAGCUGCAUGUGCGACCUACACCACAGGUUACAGCAAUGCAGGAUCCUUAACUCACUGAGCGAGGGCAGGGAUGGCACCUGCAUCCUGGUGGAUCCUAGUCAGAUUCCUUUCCACUGAGUCCCGGGAACUCCAGUGCUAUUUUAAAAGACAUGCAACCUUUAAGGCGAGUAAUAAGAUUCUAAUGAGGGCUUCGUGGAAGAAGAGGCAGGAGUGGGAUUUCCAUAAGCAGAUGUAAGAGUGGGUUGUUUGAAGGUAUUAUGGCUGGGACACAAAAGAGCAAAGAGGACUGGGGGCCCUCAGUGCCAGGCGAAGUUGCUGAGACUUUUCUGUGGGCCAAGAAAGUGGCUAAAGGCUCUUAGGAGGGGAACAACAUCUGACUUGUGUUUUUGAAAUAUCGUCCUGGCCACAGUGUGAAGGUUUAGAGGGAGUGAAGUGACUGCAGGGGAGCACCAGAAAAGAGCCUGUGGGAAGGAUGCGAGUGGCGAGAGGGCAGGUUGCUUUGAGGAGGGUGGGGGUUAUAGCCCCUGGGUAGGCUGGCUGUGACCUGGUCUAAGGAGUCAGAUCGGUUGAGGAGGGAGCGAGGACCCAGGUCAGUGCAGGGGAGUGGCGCGUCCUGAAUCCAAGCAGGGAACCGAACAGGGAGGAGCAGGAGCCUGGGCAGGGGAGAUGGCCACGAUCAAUCAACUCCUUCUCUGUUCGACCUCGCGGUGGAGACCGCCAGGAAGCGGCUGCAAGUGUGCACCUGGCUCUUGGGAGCAAGCGCUGGUCAAGCUGCUCCCAAAGAACGCGCAGCGCUGCGAUGUGAGAUGAAACCGUGCUUUUUCUGGAGCCGGGUUUAAAACUCGCUUCCAAUGGCGCAGUGAGUGAAGUCCGAGGGCGCGCUAGCGCAGCGCUGGGUCUGGCGUUCUGAAAUGCCGGGUCGCUAGGCCGAGGGACGUCUCCCGGAGCCGCGUCCGUUGGGAGCACCCAGGUGUCCCACGUGGGCAGUUCACCCGCGCGGGCCCGGCCGAGCGCGGAAGCAGCGGCGU
ensembl:lncRNA